rnacentral:rRNA from 1 species
UACGUAGGUGGCAAGCGUUGUCCGGAAUUAUUGGGCGUAAAGAGCGUGUAGGCGGCUUGUUGCGUCGGCUGUGAAAUCCCGGGGCUUAACUCCGGGCGUGCAGCCGAUACGGGCAGGCUAGAGUCCGGUAGGGGAGACUGGAAUUCCUGGUGUAGCGGUGAAAUGCGCAGAUAUCAGGAGGAACACCGGUGGCGAAGGCGGGUCUCUGGGCCGGUACUGACGCUAAGGAGCGAAAGCGUGGGGAGCGAACAGG